GUAUAAGUUUCCUUUUAUGUGAUAAAUGAUGUCGUUUCAUAAACAUGAAACACCAGAAUGGCAGUGUAUUUGUUCGAUAUAAGUUGCUUUAUCAAAGGAUGAGAGUCGAUAGAGGAAAGAGGGGCCGCCUAGGGUUAGGGUUCUUCUUGGAGGUAACCAAUUUCUUGAUUUUGGCCCUCUCUAAGCUAGUAGGAUGGCUAACUAGUUGGUUAAUAAGGGUUGAGAUAAUGAUUCAACGCGCUUUUGGGGCAAAUGAUGUAAUGAAACACGUACUUGAUUGGUUUUGGGUAAUAGCAGAGGAAUCGACGUUUGGUAAUUAUGUUCGGCUUAGUGACCUUUGGGUUGAGGGAAUGUCUUUUCUUUCACACUUGGGGUGCUGGGUUGCUGAGCUGAAGCUCUAUUCUGUUGAUUGCAUCAUUCCUCCAUGCGCACGCUGGGAUUAGGUGUUGUGUUUGGGGGAAUGAGAUUUAAUUAAAUGGAUGCUGAUUAAUGGCGAUAUAGCUCUGAUGAAUGAUGGUUGGAGAAGUAAUCUUAAGUGCCUAGAUCUAUGUAUGGGGAAUUAGAAUCAGUGGUGUAAGAGUGGCCAGAACGCUAAGCUUAAAGGAGAUCGGAGGGCCACAAAUGCUCGGUUAUUGAGGACAGAGAUGGGUGGCUGCUGGUGGAUAGGUUAUUUGAAGAUGAGCUGCUGGUUUAUUCAGCUGGUGUUGAAAUAUCUGAGGAAACCAGGCAGAAGCUGCAUAGGGGGGUAUGUUGGUAUUUCCUCAACCGGUGUUGGGGAAGGAUGUGAUCUCUAAAGAUGAGGAGGAGCUGGAGGUGAGAAAGCAAGUUAAAACCGGGAGGAGAAUAUGAGUAAGGGUUGGAAUACUGUGGUUUCUUGGAAGAAUUGGUAUGACAAUGUAGUAAGGGGAAACAAGACUUGGGUCUUGAAGGCAGACUUAAUGUCCAAGUGGAUGCUUGAUUGUACUUUGAGCUCUGGUGCAACUGUGAGGGGUGGAGCUAAGAUUGCGGCAAAUGUUGACAAGGGUAAAAACACGAUGGAGGAGGAUGAGGAGUUCAUGAAGGCUGAAAAGGAAAACAAUGAGUAGGUGCAGUAUCUAGGGAGUAGGAAGAUGGGUAGAAACAGUGGUAAUGGCGAUGUUGGGGCUAGCUAUGUUGUUAAGGACGUUGAUUAAUGAAUUGUCUUGUCUAGAAUUGCAGGGGGUGGGGCAGACCUGAUUUUGUCCCUCAGUUUAAAUUUCUUUCUAGUUUAAUUAAGCUUGAUAUCUUGUGUGUUCUAGAACCUAGGUCUGGUCUUAGUAAAAUUUCCAAGAAUGUUUUUUUGUAAGUGGUUUAAUGGAAUGUUUUUUUGCAAAAGGGAAUAGGAAAGCCGGUGGGCUUUGCCUAUUCUGGCAUGACCAGAACUUAUCUAUUAAUGUAAUUGCCUCCUGCCCCAGAUUUAUCCAUUGUAGUAUUAAAAUCUUAAA